rnacentral:rRNA from 1 species
CGAGGGGAGUGAAAAAGAACCUGAAACCGUGUACGUACAAGCAGUGGGAGCACAGAGCAAUCUGUGUGACUGCGUACCUUUUGUAUAAUGGGUCAGCGACUUAUAUUCUGUAGCAAGGUUAACCGAAUAGGGGAGCCGAAGGGAAACCGAGUCUUAACUGGGCGUUAAGUUGCAGGGUAUAGACCCGAAACCCGGUGAUCUAGCCAUGGGCAGGUUGAAGGUUGGGUAACACUAACUGGAGGACCGAACCGACUAAUGUUGAAAAAUUAGCGGAUGACUUGUGGCUGGGGGUGAAAGGCCAAUCAAACCGGGAGAUAGCUGGUUCUCCCCGAAAGCUAUUUAGGUAGCGCCUCGUGAAUUCAUCUCCGGGGGUAGAGCACUGUUUCGGCAAGGGGGUCAUCCCGACUUACCAACCCGAUGCAAACUGCGAAUACCGGAGAAUGUUAUCACGGGAGACACACGGCGGGUGCUAACGUCCGUCGUGAAGAGGGAAACAACCCAGACCGCCAGCUAAGGUCCCAAAGUCAUGGUUAAGUGGGAAACGAUGUGGGAAGGCCCAGACAGCCAGGAUGUUGGCUUAGAAGCAGCCAUCAUUUAAAGAAAGCGUAAUAGCUCACUGGUCGAGUCGGCCUGCGCGGAAGAUGUAACGGGGCUAAACCAUGCACCGAAGCUGCGGCAGCGACGCUUAUGCGUUGUUGGGUAGGGGAGCGUUCUGUAAGCCUGCGAAGGUGUGCUGUGAGGCAUGCUGGAGGUAUCAGAAGUGCGAAUGCUGACAUAAGUAACGAUAAAGCGGGUGAAAAGCCCGCUCGCCGGAAGACCAAGGGUUCCUGUCCAACGUUAAUCGGGGCAGGGUGAGUCGACCCCUAAGGCGAGGCCGAAAGGCGUAGUCGAUGGGAAACAGGUUAAUAUUCCUGUACUUGGUGUUACUGCGAAGGGGGGACGGAGAAGGCUAUGUUGGCCGGGCGACGGUUGUCCCGGUUUAAGCGUGUAGGCUGGUUUUCCAGGCAAAUCCGGAAAAUCAAGGCUGAGGCGUGAUGACGAGGCACUACGGUGCUGAAGCAACAAAUGCCCUGCUUCCAGGAAAAGCCUCUAAGCAUCAGGUAACAUCAAAUCGUACCCCAAACCGACACAGGUGGUCAGGUAGAGAAUACCAAGGCGCUUGAGAGAACUCGGGUGAAGGAACUAGGCAAAAUGGUGCCGUAACUUCGGGAGAAGGCACGCUGAUAUGUAGGUGAAGUCCCUCGCGGAUGGAGCUGAAAUCAGUCGAAGAUACCAGCUGGCUGCAACUGUUUAUUAAAAACACAGCACUGUGCAAACACGAAAGUGGACGUAUACGGUGUGACGCCUGCCCGGUGCCGGAAGGUUAAUUGAUGGGGUUAGCGCAAGCGAAGCUCUUGAUCGAAGCCCCGGUAAACGGCGGCCGUAACUAUAACGGUCCUAAGGUAGCGAAAUUCCUUGUCGGGUAAGUUCCGACCUGCACGAAUGGCGUAAUGAUGGCCAGGCUGUCUCCACCCGAGACUCAGUGAAAUUGAACUCGCUGUGAAGAUGCAGUGUACCCGCGGCAAGACGGAAAGACCCCGUGAACCUUUACUAUAGCUUGACACUGAACAUUGAGCCUUGAUGUGUAGGAUAGGUGGGAGGCUUUGAAGUGUGGACGCCAGUCUGCAUGGAGCCGACCUUGAAAUACCACCCUUUAAUGUUUGAUGUUCUAACGUGGACCCGUAAUCCGGGUUGCGGACAGUGUCUGGUGGGUAGUUUGACUGGGGCGGUCUCCUCCUAAAGAGUAACGGAGGAGCACGAAGGUUGGCUAAUCCUGGUCGGACAUCAGGAGGUUAGUGCAAUGGCAUAAGCCAGCUUGACUGCGAGCGUGACGGCGCGAGCAGGUGCGAAAGCAGGUCAUAGUGAUCCGGUGGUUCUGAAUGGAAGGGCCAUCGCUCAACGGAUAAAAGGUACUCCGGGGAUAACAGGCUGAUACCGCCCAAGAGUUCAUAUCGACGGCGGUGUUUGGCACCUCGAUGUCGGCUCAUCACAUCCUGGGGCUGAAGUAGGUCCCAAGGGUAUGGCUGUUCGCCAUUUAAAGUGGUACGCGAGCUGGGUUUAGAACGUCGUGAGACAGUUCGGUCCCUAUCUGCCGUGGGCGCUGGAGAAUUGAGGGGGGCUGCUCCUAGUACGAGAGGACCGGAGUGGACGCAUCACUGGUGUUCGGGUUGUCAUGCCAAUGGCACUGCCCGGUAGCUAAAUGCGGAAGAGAUAAGUGCUGAAAGCAUCUAAGCACGAAACUUGCCCCGAGAUGAGUUCUCCCUGACUCCUUGAGAGUCCUGAAGGAACGUUGAAGACGACGACGUUGAUAGGCCGGGUGUGUAAGCGCAGCGAUGCGUUGAGCUAACCGGUACUAAUGAACCGUGAGGCUUAACCUU